CUACGGGUCGCAGCAGUCGAGGAAAUUUUACAAUGCUCGAAAGAGUGAUAGAAUGAGUCAGAGUGUUUCUCUUAGAGAAACUUUUUUCUGUUGUAAAAAGACAGAAGAAUAAGGACUGGGAAAGACCGGUGCCAGCCGCCGCGGUAAUACCGGCGGUCCGAGUCGCAUCCACAUUUAUUGGGUCUAAAACAUUCGUAGCUUGUUUUAUAAGUCUCUUGUGAAAUUUUAUAUCUCAAGUAUAAAGCGCGCAAGAGAUACUAUAUUACUAGAGACCGGAAGACGCAAAGAGUAUGAUUGAGGUAGCGGUAAAAUGUGUUAAUCUCAAUUAGACUAACAACAGCGAAGGCACUUUGCGAGUACGGAUCUGACAGUGAGGAAUGAAGGCUAGGGGCGCAAAAGGGAUUAGAUACCCUUGUAGUC
rnacentral:rRNA from 1 species